CGAAGCGUGCGCGUGCUUAAGAAUGCAAGUCGUACGAGAAAGCCACUUCGGUGGUGAGUAAAGUGGCGCACGGGUGAGUAACGCGUGGGUAAUCUGCCCUUAGGUUUGGGAUAACCCCGGGAAACCGGAGCUAAUACCGAAUGAGACCACGAUGACUUCGGUCGAUGUGGGAAAAGGUGGCCUCUCCUUGGAAGCUAUCGCCAAAGGAUGAGCCCGCGUUUGAUUAGCUUGUUGGUGAGGUAAAAGCUCACCAAGGCUCCGAUCAAUAGCUGGUCUGAGAGGAUGAUCAGCCACACUGGAACUGAGACACGGUCCAGACUCCUACGGGAGGCAGCAGUCGGGAAUAUUGGGCAAUGGAGGCAACUCUGACCCAGCAACGCCGCGUGAAGGAUGAAGGCCUUCGGGUCGUAAACUUCUGUCGAGAGGGAAGAACCGCGUAAGGCUAAUACCCUUGCGCCUGACGGUACCUCCAAAGGAAGCACCGGCUAACUCCGUGCCAGCAGCCGCGGUAAUACGGAGGGUGCAAGCGUUGUUCGGAUUUAUUGGGCGUAAAGCGAGUGUAGGCGGUUUGACAAGUCGGGUGUGAAAGCCCAGGGCCCAACCCUGGAACUGCAUCCGAUACUGUCAGGCUAGAAUUCCGGAGAGGGUGGCGGGAUUCCCGGUGUAGGGGUGAAAUCCGUAGAUAUCGGGAGGAACACCAGUGGCGAAGGCGGCCACCUGGACGGUAAUUGACGCUGAGACUCGAAAGCGUGGGUAGCAAACAGGAUUAGAUACCCUGGUAGUCCACGCCGUAACGGUGAGUGCUCGUCGUCGUGGGUAUUGACCCCUGCGGUGACCAAGUUAACGCAUGAAGCACUCCGCCUGGGAAGUACGGUCGCAAGACUAAACUCAAGGAAUUGACGG
rnacentral:rRNA from 1 species